rnacentral:misc_RNA from 1 species
AACUGAUACUACCUGCGGGAACCUGCGGAGGGAUCAUUACAGAGUUGCAAAACUCCCUAAACCAUUGUGAACGUUACCUAAACCGUUGCUUCGGCGGGCGGCCCGGGUCCUUCCCGGCGCCCCUCGGCCCUCGCGGGCGCCCGCCGGAGGUAAACCAAACUAUUGCAUUGUAUGGCCUCUCUGAGUCUUCUGUACUGAAUAAGUCAAAACUUUUAACAAUGGAUCUCUAGAUCGGAAGAG